GGCGUGUUGUUUGAGAACUCAAUAGUGUGUUUGGUGGUUUUUGUUUGUUGUUUUUUGACCAUGCCUCUUGUUUUCCCGUUUGUGGGGUGUGGUUGUUUUUUUGAUGCCAGUUUGUUUGGUGUCUUUUGUUUGUGAUCGGAUUUUUCUGAUUGAAUUCCACCUGUCUUUGGAUGGGUUGUUUUUGUUUGGAGAGUUUGAUUCUGGCUCAGGACGAACGCUGGCGGCGUGCUUAACACAUGCAAGUCGAACGGAAAGGCCCUUCGGGGUACUCGAGUGGCGAACGGGUGAGUAACACGUGGGUGAUCUGCCCUGCACUUUGGGAUAAGCCUGGGAAACUGGGUCUAAUACCGAAUAUGACCGCGCUCUUCAUGGGGUGUGGUGGAAAGCUUUUGCGGUGUGGGAUGGGCCCGCGGCCUAUCAGCUUGUUGGUGGGGUAAUGGCCUACCAAGGCGACGACGGGUAGCCGGCCUGAGAGGGUGACCGGCCACACUGGGACUGAGAUACGGCCCAGACUCCUACGGGAGGCAGCAGUGGGGAAUAUUGCACAAUGGGCGCAAGCCUGAUGCAGCGACGCCGCGUGAGGGAUGACGGCCUUCGGGUUGUAAACCUCUUUCAAUAGGGACGAAGCGCAAGUGACGGUACCUAUAGAAGAAGGACCGGCCAACUACGUGCCAGCAGCCGCGGUAAUACGUAGGGUCCGAGCGUUGUCCGGAAUUACUGGGCGUAAAGAGCUCGUAGGUGGUUUGUCGCGUUGUUCGUGAAAACUCACAACUCAAUUGUGGGCGUGCGGGCGAUACGGGCAGACUAGAGUACUGCAGGGGAGACUGGAAUUCCUGGUGUAGCGGUGGAAUGCGCAGAUAUCAGGAGGAACACCGGUGGCGAAGGCGGGUCUCUGGGCAGUAACUGACGCUGAGGAGCGAAAGCGUGGGGAGCGAACAGGAUUAGAUACCCUGGUAGUCCACGCCGUAAACGGUGGGUACUAGGUGUGGGUUCCUUCCUUGGGAUCCGUGCCGUAGCUAACGCAUUAAGUACCCCGCCUGGGGAGUACGGCCGCAAGGCUAAAACUCAAAGAAAUUGACGGGGGCCCGCACAAGCGGCGGAGCAUGUGGAUUAAUUCGAUGCAACGCGAAGAACCUUACCUGGGUUUGACAUGCACAGGACGCUGGUAGAGAUAUCAGUUCCCUUGUGGCCUGUGUGCAGGUGGUGCAUGGCUGUCGUCAGCUCGUGUCGUGAGAUGUUGGGUUAAGUCCCGCAACGAGCGCAACCCCUAUCUUAUGUUGCCAGCGCGUUAUGGCGGGGACUCGUAAGAGACUGCCGGGGUCAACUCGGAGGAAGGUGGGGAUGACGUCAAGUCAUCAUGCCCCUUAUGUCCAGGGCUUCACACAUGCUACAAUGGCCGGUACAAAGGGCUGCGAAUCCGCGAGGUGGAGCGAAUCCCUUGAAAGCCGGUCUCAGUUCGGAUCGGGGUCUGCAACUCGACCCCGUGAAGUUGGAGUCGCUAGUAAUCGCAGAUCAGCAACGCUGCGGUGAAUACGUUCCCGGGCCUUGUACACACCGCCCGUCACGUCAUGAAAGUCGGUAACACCCGAAGCCGGUGGCCUAACCCUUGUGGAGGGAGCCGUCGAAGGUGGGAUCGGCGAUUGGGACGAAGUCGUAACAAGGUAGCCGUACCGGAAGGUGCGGCUGGAUCACCUCCUUUCU
rnacentral:rRNA from 2 species